AGAGCUUCUCUGGGUCUCUAAUUACAUAAGAUCAUAAGAUGAAAAGGGUUAUUUUGGAAGACUCCGCAAUCCUGGUUACCGAUUAGGGCAGCACAUUCAAAUUCUGAGCAGCCCAUUUGAAAUUCCCAGUUUAGACACAGCAAAGAGAUCGCUGCUUCAUCUGAGACCCUCCAAGCGAAAAGGACAGGUUACUGUUAAAUAAGGAGAAUGAAAGAAAACAGGAAAGAACAGGGCCUCGGCUUUGCUACCUUGUGAAAACGCCGCUGAAUUGCCUGGAAACACUGGCCGAGGCGCCGAGGGGAUCCGGCCGGACCCCGGUCGCCUGAGUGUCGGCGUCGCGAGCCUGGUGAGACAGCCCAGCGCGCCGGGAGCGGGCCCUUCCCGGGGCCGUGCAGGCGAGAGCCGGCGGCCGAGCUCCUGAGGGCGGCGGGAAGAGGCCGAUUUCUCAAGGGUGGACCUGGGGCUGAUAAAGUCCACGGUAUACUCGGCAGUCCCCGCCCUUUAACGCCGGAACGACGCGCUGCCCACCGGUCCUCCGCCGGGUUUCCGCGGCUUCUCUCCCACUUCGCCUCGCUGCCCCAGGCCUCACCGGCCUCGCGCUCCCGCGGCGCCCAGACCCCACCUCCGCCGGCCGCACCUGCUCUCACAGCCGCUGGUCCCCGCACCGCGAAGGGCUGUGUGAGUGUCCCCGUGCGGCCACGGAAAGCUCCGGCACCCACAUUCGGCAACCGGCGCAGACGCGCGUGGAGUGAGGCGGGCAACUGAAAUGCACAAGGGGUAGACAAAACACGUGCCUCUUGGAUCUGCACAAACACGUUUGUGUCAUCUCCACAAACAAGUUUCAGAAAGUGCGGGUGGUAGUAAACCACCUCCAGCGAAGACUAUGUGACAAGUCGUCGAUUCCCUUUCUCCGCAGAAUGUAAUAACGCUUGAUGCAAUUGAUCACUUAAAUUAUUUUCUCUGGACGUGUAGAAGUGAGGAUAAUUGCAGAAAUGAAACACACCAAAUGAAAGAACCGCAUUUAAAUGAAGUGCAGAUCACAAAGAUGAGACUAAUUAACAACAUAUGCCCUUGAUUAUUCAGACGUGGAGGAACAGAUUCCCUCUCUGAGCGCUGGUUGACCGAGAUGCAGGCUUUCCACCCUCCCCCUCCCACAGGAAGAGAAAAAAGAAACAGUUGAUUACUUUGAACUGUCAGUCCCAGUAAAAUUAUAUUAGUUUGAUUUUUUUUUUGAAGCAAAAUGUACUCCAAAUUUUCCUCAAGUUGUGUAACCAGUUAUGGAAAUUAACAAGAUGAAAAUUAAAUGCAGUCUAACAUCUGAUGCUACAAAUGAUUAUAAAGGAAGUACAUAAAAUCAAGGGACAGAUAAACUGUGAUGGACAGGAAGUAUUUUAGGAAAAUCUACCCUUAAAGCAGUUUUUUAAAGUUCAUUUUUAAAGUAAAUUUUCAUUCUCAUUUUAUCAUUAUUUUAAAUAUACAAACGUAGUAAAAUAUGAAUGUAAUUCAUCAAAACUAUACGACAUAUGAAGCAUAAUUUUUCAAAAGAAAAUUUUGCACCCUAGGAUGGUUACUAUAACCCCUAAACUGGGUCUUUCAAUCUGUUCACAGAACUAGGAUAAAUGCACCCACACACCCCAGCCCACCCUUCACAGUGUAGGAAUCUUAGAAAACAUUAGCUUGUGAAACAUUUAGGAAACAAUUUGAAGUCCUUUGGAGGAGGGAGUUUGAAAUGCAAAUCAAAACCUCCAUACUCCUCAAUGAUCUGGAGCAAUAGUCCUUAGCCAAGAAACUGACACCUGCUCUCACUCACCCAGGCUCCUACCUAUUUUGAGCCCUGUUGACACCACACGUAAGUGGUAAUAAUAAAAUAUCUGCCAUAACCGCUUUUGAAUCGUCACAUAUAAGGUGUGGGUAAACUUCAUAUACCCUAGUAUAUUUCUACUAAUAGGAAAUGUUAUCAUCUAUGGAGUAUGCCUGGUUGUUCUUUUUACACCUUGACUUUAAGAUCAGAUCAGUAAUUUGGAGUUCCCCAUCAUGGCAGAGUGGAAGCAAAUCCAACUAGGAACCAUGAGGUUGCAGGUUCGAUCCCUGGCCUUGCUCAGUGGGUUAAAGAUCCUGCGUUGCCAGUGAGCUGUGGUGUAAGUCGCAGAUGUGGCGUAGGCUAGCAGCUACAGCUCCGAUUCGACUGCUAGCCUGGGAACCUCCAUAUGCCACAGGUGCAGCCCUAAAAAGACAAAAAGACAAAAAACAAACAAACAAACAAAAAAAAACCCAGAUCAGUAAUUUAAGGUUUCUGUUGCAAUUAGCAUACUUUUCUUCUUAUUUUUAUGCUUCUCUUUAUGUUUCCUGUUGAAGAGGAUUAUAUGAGUCCAAUACUCACAUCUGAAUACUUAUCAAUUUAUGGUUUCAACAUCCCUAGUAUCUUUUUGAGAGGAUUUUUUUUAUUAUGUUCAAAUACAACUAGAUAUUACGUAUCUAUUACCAACUAUUUCUGAGUCAAAACAAUGAUGCUAUUUAUUUCCUUCUGUGGGUUUAUAAUGAAAUGUUGCUGAGCUGUACAGUGUUUUACAUAAGAAUCCUCCCUCAAGAUGUACCUUUAACUUAUUUAGCCAAGGUGUUCUAACCUGCUGAGCCAUCAGUUGGGUCUAGAGGACUUUGAUGACAAAUUGAAAUUAUAGCAGAAGAAAAAAGAAAACCAUGGACUUGGAGAACAGACGUGUGGUUGCCAAGGGGGAGGGGGAGGGAGUGGGAUGGACUGGGAGUUUGGGGUUAAUAGAUGCAGACUAUUGCCUUUGGAAUGGAUAGCAAUGAGAGCCUGCUGUAGAGCCCUGGGAACUAUAUCUAGUCACUUAUGAUGGAGUGUGAUAAUGUGAGAAAAAGUAUGUACGACUGGGUCACCUUGCUGUACAGGAGAAGAUUGACAGAACACCGUAAACCAGCCAUAAUGGAAAAAAUAAAGAUCACUAAAUUUAAAAAAAA
rnacentral:lncRNA from 1 species